rnacentral:rRNA from 1 species
AUUAUAGAGUUUUCUAAACUCCCAACCCAUGUGAACUUACCUUUUGUUGCCUCGGCAGAAGUUAUAGGUCUUCUUAUAGCUGCUGCCGGUGGACCAUUAAACUCUUGUUAUUUUAUGUAAUCUGAGCGUCUUAUUUUAAUAAGUCAAAACUUUCAACAACGGAUCUCUUGGUUCUGGCAUCGAUGAAGAACGCAGCGAAAUGCGAUAAGUAAUGUGAAUUGCAGAAUUCAGUGAAUCAUCGAAUCUUUGAACGCACAUUGCGCCCAUUAGUAUUCUAGUGGGCAUGCCUGUUCGAGCGUCAUUUCAACCCUUAAGCCUAGCUUAGUGUUGGGAAUCUACUUCUCUUAGGAGUUGUAGUUCCUGAAAUACAACGGCGGAUUUGUAGUAUCCUCUGAGCGUAGUAAUUUUUUUCUCGCUUUUGUUAGGUGCUAUAACUCCCAGCCGCUAAACCCCCAAUUUUUUGUGGUUGACCUCGGAUCAGGUAGGAAUACCCGCUGAACUUAAGCAUAUCAAUAAGCGGAGGAAAAGAAACCAACAGGGAUUGCCUUAGUAACGGCGAGUGAAGCGGCAACAGCUCAAAUUUGAAAUCUGGCCCUUGGGUCCGAAUUGUAAUUUGUAGAGGAUGAUUUUGGUGCGGUAUCUUCCGAGUUCCUUGGAACAGGACGCCUUAGGGGGUGAAAGCCCCGUACGGUUGAAUGCCUAGCCUCUGUAAAUCUCCUUCGACGAGUCGAGUAGUUUGGGAAUGCUGCUCUAAAUGGGAGGUAAAUUUCUUCUAAAGCUAAAUAUUGGCCAGAGACCGAUAGCGCACAAGUAGAGUGAUCGAAAGAUGAAAAGCACUUUGAAAAGAGGGUUAAAUAGCACGUGAAAUUGUUGAAAGGGAAGGAUUUGUGACCAGACUUUUUCUGGGCGGAUCAUCCGGGGUUCUCUCCGGUGCACUUCGCCCAGUAAAGGCCAGCAUCGGUUUUCGGCGUGGGAUAAAAGCAGUAGGAAUGUGGCUCUCUANCGGGGAGUGUUAUAGCCUAUUGUAUAAUACCCGCGCUGGGGACCGAGGUUCGCG